rnacentral:hammerhead_ribozyme from 1 species
AUCCAACUGACGAGUCCGAAAUAGGACGAAGCGGUGCUAGUCCUGGAU